rnacentral:rRNA from 1 species
CGCAAUGGGCGAAAGCCUGACGGAGCAACGCCGCGUGAGGGACGAAGGCCUCUGGGCCGUAAACCUCUUUUCUCAAGGAAGAAGAUAUGACGGUACUUGAGGAAUAAGCCACGGCUAAUUCCGUGCCAGCAGCCGCGGUAAUACGGGAGUGGCAAGCGUUAUCCGGAAUUAUUGGGCGUAAAGCGUCCGCAGGCGGCCUUUCAAGUCUGCUGUUAAAGCGUGGAGCUUAACUCCAUUAUGGCAGUGGAAACUGAUCGGCUUGAGUAUGGUAGGGGCAGAGGGAAUUCCCGGUGUAGCGGUGAAAUGCGUAGAUAUCGGGAAGAACACCAGUGGCGAAGGCGCUCUGCUGGGCCAUUACUGACGCUCAUGGACGAAAGCCAGGGGAGCGAAAGGGAUUAGAUACCCCUGUAGUCCUGGCCGU